rnacentral:rRNA from 1 species
AACGAACGCUGGCGGCAUGCUUAACACAUGCAAGUCGAACGAAAAGGCCCUGCUUAGGGGCGCCCCGGUGGGGAACGCGGGGGGACCCACCCGUGGGUUCUGAACCAUUCCCUGAGAGAGGUCUUAAUAACGGAGAAUGUUAUUGGAGCAAAGAUUUCUCGCGGUUGGGUGGGGGCGCGUUGGAUUGGGUGGUUGGUAGGGUAAAAGCCUAGCAAGGCGAUGAUGGAUAGCUGGUCUGAGAGGAUGAUCAGCGACGCUGGGACUGAGACACGGCCCAGACUCGUACGGAGGGGAGAAGAGGGGAAUAUUGGAGAAUGGGCGAAGGCGUGAUCCAGCGAUGCGGCGGAAGUGAUGAAGGCCGUAGGGUUGUAAAGCUCUUUUAGACGAGAUGGUAGUGACGGUACCGGGAGAAGAAGCACCGGCCAACUACGUG